UUGGAUAAUGCAUUUUUUGUCUCUCUCUUCUUUCUCGAGGUUUCCAGCGUGACAACAAUAGACAAAUCCGUCGUUGAUCGGAAGGUGAAAGCUCCGUCACCGUCUCUUCUCCUUCAUCUCGUUCUCAUGACGCCACCGAGACCACCGUCAGGGAGACAAAGGCCGCUGCGUUAUUAAUCAGAUUCAGAGAGAACAGAAGGUAGCGGCAGUUGGGACACGCUUGAAUGGAACAAACUCAAUUCGCAGCACACAGCUUCAGGUUCAAGUUCAACAUCUUUCGCUAAUUUGAGUUGCUUGCUCGAAUCCGAGAGGGUCAUCGUUGAGAUUUUCUUGGUUUUGAAGAUCAUUCUUACUCUUUGAUGCUUUUACUACACAGAAGCUCAUAGGAAAUAUGGUGGAAUUGGAACUCUUCUUGUGAUCAAGGUCUCUCCUGAAUCAGCAAAGCCAAUUUGGAGAACUGGUGGCAGAUCCAGUUACUAAUGAGCUGCUUCAUUACACCGAGAAACCCGAAACUUUUGUCAGUGACCGUAUUAACUGCUGUGUUUAUGUAUUUACACCUGACAUUUUUACUGCCAUAAGACUAAGAGAUGUUUCCUCUCAAAGGAAAGACACAGCAAUUCUGAGACGUGUUUCCAGCUUUGAAGCUCUUCAACCGGCAACAAGGUUUGUCUGUCUGUCUCUUGUCUGCGU